rnacentral:lncRNA from 1 species
CACGGGAUUAACAACCCUUUCGUUUUUUAUUACACACCACUUUAAACUCUUUAAACCCAACAAACUUGCUUAACUAAAAUGCUAAAGACGCUUCAUUCAUCUCCGCCAGCGAUGUAGUUAAUGGCUGGUUUGGGCCAAUAUCAUCAGUUUCAUGACCACCAUCGUCGAUCUUCACUUCUUUAACCUUUCUAGCAGCUCUCCAGGAAUCAGAAAUCGUCAAAGCCCACUUUGUCGCGUAUCUUGUACUUAAUUGGCGGCAUCGAUCUUUCGAGCAACGUUUGCUCCUCUUCAGCAGCUCGAGCGCUUUGAAACCGACUCAUUAACAAAACAAGUCAAAUAUGUUCAAAUUUCCAUUUGAAAACUCCGUUUAACGACUUGUAUGACUUGAUAAUUAAUCCAGUCAUUAAUUUGCUUGCUGAUCAAUGAAGGGAAGAAUCGUAAAACAAUAGAACUAUUGUAGUUAGCAUUUCUUAUUAUUUCAUUGGGACCCAAAACAAAAGGUGAAUUUUAGAAGUCAUUUAUAAACCUCGUGAUUGGGCUUUAUCGGUGCCUAUAGCCGCUCGCCUUCGGCUCGCGUCUAUAUGCACCGAUAAAGCCCUCUCACUCGGUUUAUAAAUAGUAUAUAUAUAUAUAUAUA